rnacentral:rRNA from 1 species
AGGGUUUGAUUAUGGCUCAGAUUGAACGCUGGCGGCAGGCCUAACACAUGCAAGUCGAGCGGUAGAGAGGUGCUUGCACCUCUUGAGAGCGGCGGACGGGUGAGUAAUGCCUAGGAAUCUGCCUGGUAGUGGGGGAUAACGCUCGGAAACGGACGCUAAUACCGCAUACGUCCUACGGGAGAAAGCAGGGGACCUUCGGGCCUUGCGCUAUCAGAUGAGCCUAGGUCGGAUUAGCUAGUUGGUGGGGUAAUGGCUCACCAAGGCGACGAUCCGUAACUGGUCUGAGAGGAUGAUCAGUCACACUGGAACUGAGACACGGUCCAGACUCCUACGGGAGGCAGCAGUGGGGAAUAUUGGACAAUGGGCGAAAGCCUGAUCCAGCCAUGCCGCGUGUGUGAAGAAGGUCUUCGGAUUGUAAAGCACUUUAAGUUGGGAGGAAGGGCAUUAACCUAAUACGUUAGUGUUUUGACGUUACCGACAGAAUAAGCACCGGCUAACUCUGUGCCAGCAGCCGCGGUAAUACAGAGGGUGCAAGCGUUAAUCGGAAUUACUGGGCGUAAAGCGCGCGUAGGUGGUUCGUUAAGUUGGAUGUGAAAUCCCCGGGCUCAACCUGGGAACUGCAUUCAAAACUGUCGAGCUAGAGUAUGGUAGAGGGUGGUGGAAUUUCCUGUGUAGCGGUGAAAUGCGUAGAUAUAGGAAGGAACACCAGUGGCGAAGGCGACCACCUGCACUGAUACUGACACUGAGGUGCGAAAGCGUGGGGAGCAAACAGGAUUAGAUACCCGGUAUCCACGCCGUAAACGAUGUCAACUACCGUUGGGAGCCUUGAGCUCUUAGUGCGCAGCUAACCGCAUUAAGUUGACCGCCCUGGGG